AAACCAACAGGGAUUGCCCUAGUAACGGCGAGUGAAGCGGCAACAGCUCAAAUUUGAAAUCUGGCUCUCGGGCCCGAGUUGUAAUUUGUAGAGGAUGCUUUUGAUGCGGUGCCUUCCGAGUUCCCUGGAACGGGACGCCAUAGAGGGUGAGAGCCCCGUCUGGUUGGAUGCCAAAUCUCUGUAAAGCUCCUUCAACGAGUCGAGUAGUUUGGGAAUGCUGCUCUAAAUGGGAGGUAUAUGUCUUCUAAAGCUAAAUACCGGCCAGAGACCGAUAGCGCACAAGUAGAGUGAUCGAAAGAUGAAAAGCACUUUGAAAAGAGAGUUAAAAAGUACGUGAAAUUGUUGAAAGGGAAGCGUUUAUGACCAGACUUGGGCUUGGUUAAUCAUCUGGGGUUCUCCCCAGUGCACUUUUCCAGUCCAGGCCAGCAUCAGUUUUCCCCGGGGGAUAAAGGCGGCGGGAAUGUGGCUCUCUUCGGGGAGUGUUAUAGCCCGCCGUGUAAUACCCUGGGGGGGACUGAGGUUCGCGCAUCUGCAAGGAUGCUGGCGUAAUGGUCAUCAACGAC
rnacentral:rRNA from 1 species